rnacentral:siRNA from 1 species
UGGAGAAGCCUGAAAUGAUCUUGC